GUGGAUGAGACGUUUGUAACAUUUCUGAGGCCACUCAAGGAUCCUAUAUGGUCUGAUGAAAGGCACAGAUCUCGCCUACCUCCCCCCCACACACACACUCAGAAAACAACGUACUCACCAAACUGCACAAUUUCAGCCUUCAGACCCGUCAGACCCCCGGUUAAGAAUGCUUAUUUGACUGGUUAAAGGAAAAGAGCUGGAGUUUAGACCAUGCUAAGACAAAUAGGGUCGGUUUACGGAGGUAGUUACUCUGUUCCUUUGGCUCAUCUCCUGGUGUUGGCCCAGCCAGCCUUACCUCUCACCACCACAUGUAGGGUAUGGUGUCCCAGUGAGUGUCCCUUGUUCCUCCCCAGGACCAGGGGCCUUGAGAAAGUGGAAAGAGCUUUGCUGGGGAAAGUCCAUCUCCCACUGGCCGGCGUUGGGACCGGCUACAGCUGGGAAGCUGGGCUCAGGCAGCCUCCCAGGGACUAAAACCCACACCGGAACUCCUGGGAAGGGAGGGUUAUCCAGAGACAAUGCCCACAGCUAUGACUGUCCGUGAGCCCAGCAAGUGGGGACCCAGCAACAGAAUGCUCCUUUGUUUCCUUAUGGAUCCACCUAUGGGUUUCCUUGGGGACCCCCACUCUGCAUGGGGCUGAGGACUCAGCCAAGGGUGGAGGUGAGGAAUACCAACCUCGAUGCUGAAAGGGGGGAUUUUAUCCCCAGACAUUUUGUAGGAGCCAAGCAGCAGGUGGCCAGUGACAAUCCGGGGUUGGGGGGCCCUUUUACUUCUGCCCCUCAUUCUGUAUUGUGGCUUGUUUUGAUGCAGCCAGAGCAGGAGGAUUUAACUGUUCUUUCUCAGCCUUGUAAACUGACCAAGUUAGGUCACCCAGAAGAAAAGUUAGGCUUCUGUGUGGUCUGAGAAGUCAACAGACUUCCUUUUUCUUAGGACUUUGUUCAGAUACAUUAGGGAAACUGGGAGUUCCCUGGCUGAUUGUACCCUGCCCAUCCACAAACACAACCACAGCAACUGCCCGCCCUCCCAGCGGCUCCUCAGUUGUCCACGCCCAUCAGACAGGCACUAACCUGCUUCUGGUUGCCCCCUUCCAAGCGGGCACAACUGCCACCCACCAGCCCCACAGUUCUGAGCUGAGACAAGAAGCCGAUGGUUGGCUAAUGGCAUUCAGACCCCUGCCUGAAAAUAAAAAGAAAAAAAAUAAAUAAUUUUCUGCUUGGGACAGCUUAAACUGAAUAAUUCUAGCUGUGACAACAUGACCUAAAUGCUUUUAAUCAGAGCAGAAGAAAUAUAUGCCCAUUUGCUCUCCACUUUACUAAUUAAAGACAGCUAAUUGGUGUUGUCGGGAAUUUCCGACUGAGGGUCAGGAGCCUCUAGUUGUUUCUUUGCCCCUCCUCUUUAUGUCCCAGCCCUUCCCCCACCGGGCCGUCCCCACCGUGGAGUUGGCCUCUUUCCCGUAGACAAUGGGGGGGGGGGCAUCCUCUGGCUCCGCCCCUGCAACUGGGACUUUGGCCCUGAAAAGGAAAUCCUGCUAUUGGCCAGAAGUUCUGGCUCCGCAGGGCUGUCCCCCUUUGCUUGUCCCUGGACUUGCUUCUGAGAGCCCAGACAUGGCCUAGGCUGCCGAGUCAGCACCGGCAGCUGGUGGGGUGCAGCUCCUGCUGGAGCCCCAGAGCUCUGCUCAGUGCUGGGCACUCGGUAGGCGCAGGAAGUGUUUGUUGAUUAAGGAAUCAAAGUGAUCACCAGGCAAAGGCUGUGACUUGCUAGGGAGUCUCUGGGGCCGGUGCUUGCAAAGCUCCAUGGCCUCCUGGCACUUUAGGAGAUGUGCAAAACUAGCUUUUUGUCAAGAUUUUCUGAGUUGUUCUAGUUAAUUCCAGCUUUCUGGGUCUCUUAUGUCUUCAUUUUCUGAGGCAGCACCCUGCCUACUCCAGCAAAGGAAAGGGCUCACCGAGAAGCCAAAUGAAUAUAUGCUUCCACUCCCCAGAUACUGCAGGCUAAAGGGAGUUUGAACCUGAAAUGAGCCAGAUAAUUGCUCCAAUUCUCUGUUUCUUAUUGAAAAGGUAGUUACAAGCCAAGGGGUUCAAGGGGCCUCACUUUGAUGGACAUUGCUCUAAGUCAAAAGAAUACAUUAGACAUACGCAGACUGAGCUGCACACCCUCUAGCCAAAACAGGCUCACGCCGCCACCGCCGCUGCCUCCUCUUCCCCCUCCUCCUCUUCCCCCUCCUCUUUGUCAUUGAUAGUUAGCAUUUACUAAAAGCUCCCAAGUCCUUGUGCUAAAUCCUAGACCCGUAGUACACUAACUAAUCCUUACAACAGCCUGAAGAGUUGAGACAUUCCGAUUUUUGCAGUUAAAGAGUCAAGAAUCAUUUUUCGGUCAGAAGUGUGUGUGUGUGUGUGUGUGUGUGUGUGCGCGCGCACAAGGUUAGCGUGACGGUAGCAGAUCUGAAUGCUCUAGUGGUAUAAUGAAAACUGAGAUGAGAAGAUCUGCAAGUUUUGAAAUAUAGAAUGCUUUCAUAGAAUGCAGCCAGUUUCUCCCGCCCUAAAGUGAACAAAGAAGUGAGGCAAUUAGCUGGCUAAUUCCAGCACCCAAAUGCUUUCCCUUGAAACGGCCGGAUAAUGAGGCCGACAGUAUGUUCGCAGUUGAAUUCGCCUGAUGUUGCUCCAUUCCCCCUCCCUGACUUUUUGCGCAUGCAUUGGGCAAUCACAGCGAGACGCGCAGACGCCACGUGGACGUGCACGCACGCACUCACGCGCAGGAAUGCUGACACACACAGACCCGACUGUAUUCUGCCUCCAGAGUCUUUUAUGACUCAGCCUCGGGAGUGAAAAUAGGGUUUGGAGCGAAAUAAUGCGCCCAGGGCCGGCGAGGGCGCAGCUGCUCCAGAUGUGCGCCGGGUGGACAGCGCGUCCUCCGGCCCUGCUUCGCCGCUUUUAGUAGCUGCUCUGAUCUUAGGACUAAGUCACAGGGCGCCCACGGCGACGCGCCGGCGGCCAGCGCCAGGCCGAGCCCAGUGCGCCUGCAGGACCCGGCCCCUUCUCCCGGCGCGGGACGCGGAGCUGCGCGAAGGUCCGGUCUGCGCGGACUCGACGCCAGGGCGCCGCCUAGAGGUUGGCCGCCGCCUCGGCCUCACCCUCCGGCGACCACGGAGCUGCUCCCCCUGCCGCCGCCAGACACUGGGGCGGGGGAGGUGGGGGGAGUCCAGUUUGGGUUCCAGAGACUGGGCUCCUGGCACCUUUGACUUCUCCGAGACCGCCUCCUCUCCGCCGCGUAAUGAAUCCCAGGAAGGGAGCGGGGCCAGGAAGUCCCAGAAGUCUUUAUUCUUGUGACUCUCAGGAACGGAAAAGGGUCACCAUUCGGUUUCUGGAAGGAUCUGGUCGGAGCCUACGCUGCCCCCUCUCACCCUCCAAAUUGUCCGGUCCCCUACAAUUUAUGCUGCGUUACCUUCAAGGAAGAAAGCGAGGAAGGAGAAGCUUUUUCCUAAAUCUUACAGCAUUGCCCGUCGAUCUUCUGAAUAAUUUGGAGAUCAGUUUGCUUUGGGGAAAAGUAUUUGGAAAACACUUGGGUGUGAACAGAAGCGGUGCCUAAAAUGGCCCUUUGCUCACCUCAGAGGCCAGCCCAGCCAGAGCCUGGGAGAUGGCCAGGAGGGCACCUGCUGGCACCAGCACCCUGUUGGUGUGGUUCACCUGAGCGUUUCAAAGUUGACUUUGAAGACAGCUGGCCUUGGAGGGAAUGAGUUACAGGUGUCCUUCGGUCCUACACCGAGUUUUUUUUUUUUUUUUUGAACUGAGAUUCAAGGCCUGAGUUCUAGGGUUAGUUGGGGGGGGGGGGGGCACAAAAGGCCUGAAAUGUAUGCAGAUUGUGUGUGUGUGCAGGUGCAUCGUUCUAAGGCCCUGGUCUCUUCCGCUUUUACAAAAAGUCUAAGACUGUGAAAUGACACAAUCCCUCUUGCUCAGCGAGGGAACCACAGAGAUCCAGGCCCACAGUGAGUAGGGAGCCAGCCACUGACCUGUCCCGGCUGCAGGCCCCCCACCAGGCAUCCAAGAAGGGGAUGUAUAACAGCCCUGGACGCUCUGGAAGCCGCUGGUCCCACACUACUGCCCUGCACCUGUCCCUACCGGCUUGGAUCAUGGAGGCAAACCCUGAUAGAAGAGGUGGCAACCACUGGCUGCCACCUCAGUCAGUGUUUUAAAUAAAAAUAUAGCCUGACAGAGAGCAAAAUGAGGAUGCCGGGCCACAGCCCGAGAACAGGAGCCAGAGGGCUUCCCCUUGCAAGCCCUGGCAUGCGAACGGGGCAUGGCAUCAGGAUAUUUCCUGUCUUCCUGCUGUUAAAGAGCCCCCCUCCUUCCUGCUUCCUGGUGCCAGGAGGGGGCCGGAGGGUACCUCCCCACUGCACCAGUCUCGUCUCUGGCCAGACUGGUCAGGGUAACACCGCCUGCAGCAAAGUGAGCCUGGCAGCAUGUUUGGAAACUGCACGAACCGGCCUAGUAUUUUCCCUGCCCGUUCCAUUUUUUAAAAAACCUUCAGCAGUGUGUUGGUACUUUUUCAUGGCGGAGGGGAGGGUUGACUGGAUUAGGGCUGCACCUGUGUGUGUGUGUGUGUGUGUGUGUGUGUGUGUCUUUAGGAAGGGGGGGUGCACCGACUCCUCAAGCUGGGCUCAGCCCUGUACCUGGGCCCUGCGUGAGUCGGAGCUAACCUUUGUCCUGCAGCUCAGCCCUGAGUCCUGGUGUUUAGGGGUCAGUAAUAACUGAGGCAGAAUUGAAUCUUCUUCGCUGUCUUACCCAGGCGCCUAAGGCAGACAAAGGAGCAGGAAGUCAGGAAGUCAGGAAGUCGGUCACUUUGCUCCCAGGUCUCCGGAAUCCAAAGAGAAAAGAAACGUGUCUCAGGUUGGGUUUGCAGUGGCCUAAAGCGAAUCCCCAAGACCCAAAGUUUUGGAAAAAGCCAACAGUCCAGACCAUACAGACAAGGAAAGUGGAGACCCAGCUGUGGUUGCCUGUCUCUGAUUUUGAGAGUUUCAAGGAGGCCGCGGUGGAGCUCCAAGGCGGGCUGGCUGCUGGCCGCUGCGGGACCCAGCUCAGCAGGGGUGGGGACCGGCCUGCCGCUUCCUCCUGUGGGAGCCCAGGGUCGGCUCAGCCCCCUCCCGGGCCUCAGAGGAGUCUUCCUGGGUGUUCUCUAUGGCCCCUCCUUGCAGUAAAUGGGUGAGGCAGGGCAAAGUUCUGGCUGCUAGAGAGAAGAGAACAGCACAGAACCCGCAUUCAGCGGAGAGAUGCGACCGAUGCAGGCCCCAGAGGGCGCGGGGUGGGAGAGCUGGGGCCUCGGCGGGGACACCCAGCUCUGCCCAGCCUUGCGUGUACGCGGGGCUCCGUGGGGAUGUCCAGUACCGGCCGCGGGGCCACCUCAGAGGCAGCGCUCGCCUAGCGGCGGCGGCGCAACCUAGAAGGCCCCGGGCCCCGGCUGCUUCUCUCCACGCGGACGGGGGCCGUGCGGGUGCUCCUAGUCUCAUAAAUUUGCUUCCCCCUCCCUUUAACCCGCCCCCUGGCCGUCUUUCUUCCCCGGACAGGAGGGGAUGUAAACCGUUUGAAGUUCAUCAGCACGGUGAAGUUUUAUUGUAUUUCCGGUCCCCAAGAUUUAUACCCGGGAGGGGGCGCGGGAGGCCUAGCGGACUCCCUCGUUACCUCGGACUUCCGUGUCGGACACGUGGACACUCGCCUCCCGGGCGAGGGAGGGAGGGAGCCGGCGGGACCCGGACAGGAACGCGGGCUCGGCACCUUGUGACUGCCACCGCCGCCCAGCUGGAGUUGAACUCCAAUUUGGACUAGCAGAGCUUUCUGGCAAGUUGGCUGAGGUGGGACCUACUGCUUGCAGCACCCACGGGCUCACCUGGAUGGAGGUGAGCCGGGGUGCAGACUCCAGGGCUUGGGAGUCAUUGUGUUCCCUCUGAACCCACCAAGGCCUCCCCAAACUGCCAUUUUGAAGUUGUCCCCACUGUCCAGCUUCUUUGAGAGCCAACGCCUGAGCCCUAGUCUCAGUAAAGAGACCUGGGGCCUCUCACCCAGCUCCCAGCAGCCGCCGGGGAUUGGGGGUGAUUUCCCCAGGCAGCAUCAACCCCCAGAUCUGGACUGUGCUGGGACGCAGAGCACAAGCAGCCAGGAGCCGCACUGUUCUUCCUCUCACUUCUUUUCUCAACUAAGUGGCCCUCCUGCCUCCUCUUCGCUCACUAGCAAAAGGCAGGGCUGGCGAAUGGGAACCAGGAGGGCGGCCGUCAGAGCCCAGUGCCUGCACAGCUCGGGCCAUAAGAGCAGCCCAGCCCUCUGACUUCUCCAUAAAUAAAACAGCCCUAGCCCCCAGUCCACAUGUCCUUUUGGGCCCUAAUUUAUAUACUACAGAAAAUCAUAUACUCGGGCCGCCAUGCUUCAUAAGGCUGUUAUUUAUGGCGGGGGAGGGGAUUUUUUUUUUCCUGAAGAGUAUAUUUAUUACAGGUAAAACCGACAGCCGACUCCAUAGGCCUGGCAAAUCGGGAACAGGUGCUUUGCCUUAACUGACGCAUUUGCUCAGCGCCCCGCUCUCUGGCUGCCUGUCCGGGGAGCUGCUUCCACUUCCCCAAGUGUCCAGCCGCUACUUAGCAGAAUUUGCAUCGAAUUUUUGUUGCCCCCACUUGGGUCCUAUGGAGAAACGAAGAUCUUCACGCUGUUUGGUUCCGGAUCUGCCGGGCUGUCGCCCUCAGAGAGCGGGGGAGGAAUAGGAGGGGGCCGGCUGGGCGCCAGCAUUGAUCUUUAAAAAAUCAUUUUGAAAUCGCCAUAAUGUGAAGAAAUAUGGCGCUUCGCCCUCGUAUUUCACUCGUAAUGACACGAGAUGGCUUCAUUUGGAAAGAGAACGCGGGCGGGAGUGUGCCUGUGCGGAGGUGAUCCGCAGCCUUCCGGUGGGGCACAGGGUCCGUGGCCAAAAAAAAUAAAACCCCAAGUUAGAAUGG